rnacentral:rRNA from 1 species
UACGAAGGGGGCUAGCGUUGUUCGGAUUUACUGGGCGUAAAGCGCACGUAGGCGGACAUUUAAGUCAGAGGUGAAAUCCCAGGGCUCAACCCUGGAACUGCCUUUGAUACUGGGUGUCUUGAGUUCGAGAGAGGUAAGUGGAAUUCCGAGUGUAGAGGUGAAAUUCGUAGAUAUUCGGAGGAACACCAGUGGCGAAGGCGGCUUACUGGCUCGAUACUGACGCUGAGGCGCGAAAGCCAGGGGAGCAAACGGGG